AUUGAACGCUGGCGGCAGGCCUAACACAUGCAAGUCGAGCGAGCGGCGGACGGGGGAGUAAUGUAGGGGGAUCUGCGUGGUAGAGGGGGCUAACUACUGGAAACGGUGGCUAAUAACGCAUACUAACGGAUGAACACAUAUGGGAUUAGCUAGUGGGUGGGGUAAAGGUUCACCUAGGCGACGAUGACUAGCUGGUCUGAGAGGAUGAUCAGCCACACUGGGACUGAGACACGGCCCAGACUCCUACGGGAGGCAGCAGUGGGGAAUAUUGCACAAUGGGCGCAAGCCUGAUGCAGCCAUGCCGCGUGUAUGAAGAAGGCCUUAGGGUUGUAAAGUACUUUCAGCGGGGAGGCGUUACCCGCAGAAGAAGCACCGGCUAACUCCGUGCCAGCAGCCGCGGUAAUUC
rnacentral:rRNA from 1 species